GGUACUACGACAUGAAUAAAGCAAAAUCCCUACCCUCAGGAGGCUUCUAUUUGAUGAAAGAAAAGUCUGAUGGCAAGACUAGGGGGUAGAUUGGAGGUGCCAACCCUGAAAGCAGAGAGACCAGUUACAAGAAAAGAGGUGAUGAGAGAUUUACCCAGGACUGUGGCAAGAGAAUGAAGACACGAGACACUUCCUGGGAAGUCAGGUGAUGGUGCAGAGGAUGCAAAGCAGUCGGUCAAACUGGGGGCCCAUUGCUCCUGAGUCCUUCCUCCCUUUCCCUCUUGUCAUCCCUUGUCGCUUGAUCAUAUUUUUUAUAGACUCCUUUUAUUUUGACUCCACCCUCAAAGAGAUGGGCACACUCAGGAUUAGAUGUUCAUUCCAUAUACAUUCACCCUCACCAGUAUCUACCUCAAACACUUGACUCCAGCCUCUGCUGACCCAGCUCCAUCCAGCUGGUAUCUCCUUGUACUUCCAGACACUAGAUGGGGAGGGAGGUAGGUUGAAUCUUCAGUGAGGCUUCGCUGCACUCUCUGAUCCUGGGUCUAGUGACUGGGACCUCCCUGCUGGGGCCCUUGAAUGCUUCUCAAUGAUCUUUUGCUGUUCAUAGGGGAUGCCCUUGGAGCACCUUCCCAGGCACACAUAAUCUGUCUUUUCCCAACCAUAGGACUGGCCUUCUGUCUUGGGUCCCACUUUCUGUGCGUUUCCUGCCUUCAGAGGGUUGGGGUGCAGCUUCCCACACCUGGAUUUCCCAAUAGUCAUCAAGUGUUCCUCACUCCAGGGCAGUAGUUCUUGAAGGGUUGUCUGUGCACCUCUGCAGGGUCACUGAGAUCUUUUCAGGGAACCCUCAGAGUCAAAACUAUUUUCACAAUAGUACUUAGAUAUCAUUUGCCUUUUUCCGUUC
rnacentral:lncRNA from 1 species